UGAAAAUACGUGUUUCUUAGAACGGCGGGGAAAUCCCACAAGGUGCUUUAGGGUUCACCUGUUGGCAGCGAUGACUCACGAGUCUUGGGUACUGCGGAAUCCCCUCAAGUAAGAGAAAAUCAAGAAUCCAAAAUGUUGCUGUGAUAUUUAUAAAUAGUUUUCUUUCGUUCGGUUUACAUUCUCUUAAAAUUAAAAAUUGCACUUUAAGCACUAAAGCUGUGUUGGCUGUUGGUUGCUGUCUUCACAAAUGCACCCCGGCUAAAAGCCCAUUGAAAAGCUUUGAAAAUAGAGCUUCUGCUAUAAAAAACAAUCGUACCAUAACUCAGCAAUCCAUGACCACUUGUUGCUCCAACGGGCUGAGCAAAACAUGACCAUCUUCCCACUGCAGAAGAAAGUUGGCUGAUUUUGUUAAAGGGAAAUUAAUGUUCCACCCAAAAAAGAAAACUCAUCAAUCUGCGGCCAGCUGCUCGAGAAAACUUUUUCCCAAAUGAAGUCAAAUCGAACUGCGGACGAAUGCGAAUCCGAACUGAAAAUAACCGAACCAGAGCAGCAUUGGUUUUCAAAUUAAAAGAGCCAGCCGAGUGUGAAGCGAAAGUUUGCAGCAAACGGAAACGAAAUUGAAAACUGUUGCAUACUUCGGGGCGGAGCAGGACCUCAAAAAGGAGGCCUAGACCAAGCACCACCCCCAGACCACCCAGAAAAGCCGCACUGGGCGAAAAAUGAUUUCCGUUCAUAAAUCAUCAUAAUGGCGAAGCAGGACCCGGCACAUGUAUGUCUGGCCAGAAAAACAGGACCAGAACCAAAUGAAGAUGAAACCAUUUGACCAGCCCACAACGGUGGGUUUUCCCGGGGGUCGAGUGGGGACUGGCCUGAGGAAAAGUGCGCCCGUGCGUUGGUCCGUCACGCACACAGAGAAGAAGAGGCAACGGAAGCAGCAAAUCGAUUGCGGCAAAGUUGUCGACUGAAAGAUAUUCAGUAACUGCAAUAUUGAACAUUUACAUUGAAAGUAUAUUGUUGAAGGUUUUUUAAUAUUAAGUGGUUAUUCCUUUCAAAAAUAUUGGAGCACACACCUAAUUCUUAUAAUAAAUAUUCUGAUCCGACUUUAUUUCAGAAGGAAUAUACAAGUUUGAGUUUAUGGAGGCCUUCCGUUUCUGCUAGUCAAUAUACCCCACUAUUUCAGUUCCAACGUGUGCUCACACACACACACACACGUGUUCUGUGCGUGUGACGUCAACAAAUGGAGCUGGAACGAAAUGAAACGUUUUAAUUAGACAAAAGAGCAAGGCAACUAUUUAUUUCCAUUUCUGCUUCGACUGUUCACUGUCCACAGCCCGCAGCAAGCUGCAGAUACAGAUACGACUACUGGCACAGAUACAAAUGCGGAAUACAUAGCAAAUAUUCCAGUGCAACCCACUCUUUUAGCUUGCGGCGUGCAGUUGAUGAUAAACCUUCUUGGCCAGAACAGUUGCAGCUCGCCCCACUACCACUCUUUUGGGAGAAGCCACUCUAAGCUUUUUUUCAACUGGAAGAAAUGAAAUGGACAUCUAAGGGUAUAUCCAAUGUUCCUUUGCGGUGAGUGUUGAGACCCACUUGGAUUCCGAUAAGCGAACAUUUUCCGCAGCAUGCUUGCGAGGGCAAACAUUGGCAAUGGCCAAAGAAUUGCUGGGAAAUUGCUCAUUCGCCGGGUGUGCGGGGCAGACA